rnacentral:rRNA from 1 species
UACGGGGGGUGCGAGCGUUGUCCGGAAUCACUGGGCGUAAAGGGCGCGUAGGUGGUUUGAUAAGCGUGCGGUGAAAGCCCGGGGCUCAACCCCGGGUCGGCCGUGCGAACUGUCGAGCUGGAGCACUGUAGAGGCAGGUGGAAUUCCGGGUGUAGCGGUGGAAUGCGUAGAGAUCCGGAAGAACACCGGUGGCGAAGGCGGCCUGCUGGGCAGUGGCUGACGCUGAGGCGCGACAGCGUGGGGAGCAAACAGG